rnacentral:miRNA from 5 species
AUGGUUGACCAGAGAGCACACG